UGACAAUAAGAAUGUGAGAAAUGGAGCU
rnacentral:piRNA from 1 species